rnacentral:rRNA from 1 species
CGGGUGCACUGAUCCGGCCGGGCCUUUCCCUCUGUGGAACCCCAUGGCCUUCACUGGCUGUGCGGGGGAAACAGGACUUUUACUGUGAAAAAAUUAGAGUGCUCCAGGCAGGCCUAUGCUCGAAUACAUUAGCAUGGAAUAAUAGAAUAGGACGCGUGGUUCUAUUUUGUUGGUUUCUAGGACCGCCGUAAUGAUUAAUAGGGACAGUCGGGGGCAUCAGUAUUCAAUUGUCAGAGGUGAAAUUCUUGGAUCUAUUGAAGACUAACUACUGCGAAAGCAUUUGCCAAGGAUGUUUUCAUUGAUAAGGAACGAAAGUUAGGGGAUCGAAGACGAUCAGAUACCGUCGUAGUCUUAACUAUAAACUAUGCCGACUAGGGAUCGGACGAUGUUAUUUCUUGACGCGUUCGGCACCUUUCGAGAAAUCAAAGUGCUUGGGCUCCAGGGGGAGUAUGGUCGCAAGGCUGAAACUUAAAGAAAUUGACGGAAGGGCACCACCAGGGGUGGAAUCUGCGGCUUAAUUUGACUUAACACGGGGAAACUCACCAGGUCCAGACACAGUGAGGAUUGACAGAUUGAGAGCUCUUUCUUGAUUCUGUGGGUGGUGGUGCAUGGCCGUUCUUAGUUGGUGGAGUGAUUUGUCUGCUUAAUUGCGAUAACGAACGAGACCUUAACCUGCUAAAUAGCCCGUACUGCUCUGGCAGUUCGCCGGCUUCUUAGAGGGACUAUCGG